UUUGAUCUUAGGUCGGGUUAGAGCACCCGCCCAAUUUAAGCAUAUAACUAAGCGGAGGAAGAGAAACCAACGAGGAUUCCCUUGGUAGCGGCGAGCGAACCGGGAAUAGCCCAGACUGAAAAUCCGGGGGCUUUGUUGCUCCCUGAAUUGUAGUCUUGAGAGGCAACCUUUGCAGUGGGCCAUGUGCAGUUUCCCUGGAAGGGGAUGCCGAAGAGGGUGACAGCCCCGUGGACUGCCGGACCCUGCUGCGCAGCGAGGUGUUGUCCAAGAGUUAGGUUGCUUGGGAAUGCAGGCCCAAUUGGGUGGUAAGUCCCAUCCAAGGCUAAAUAUGUGGGAGGGACCGAUAGCAAAGAAGUACCGUGAGGGAAGGAUGAAAAUAACUUUGAAAAGGGAGUUAAAGAGUGCUUGAAAUUGUGGAGCGUGAAGCGAAUGGAGGGAAGUCGUGCAUUCCCGUCUGGGCAGGGUGGACAGCGACUGUGUUGUCGCCCCUCUUGUUGGGCGUGGGGUGCCUGCCAGCAUGGGCURCUGUGACCGGCAUUGCGGUGGGGAGCGAUUGAAACCCCCCACGGGUGGCCGCCACGGCAGUCGAGGACCUUGAGCACGCGCCUCUUUCGGCGGGCCCAUUCGGUUCCUGCGUGUUCAGGACGCUGGAGAAAUUACUUUAUCCUACCCUUUUUGAAACACGGACCGAGGAGUUCGACGUGGAUGCGAGCCGGUGGGUGAUUAGCCCGCGAGGCAGAAGAAACCUGAGUGGCCAGAACCGUCUGCGGGUGCACCGUCCGCCAAGCACGAUCUGCUGUGAGAGGUUUGAGUGUGAGCAUGCCCGUUGGGACCCGAAAGACGGUGAACUAUGCCUGAACAGGGCAAGGCCAGAGGAAACUCUGGUGGAGGCUCUCAGCGAUACUGAUGUGCAAUCGUUCGUCGGACUUGGGUAUAGGGGCGAAAGACUAAUCGAACCGUCUAGUAGCUGGUUCCCUCCGAAGUUUCCCUCAGGAUAGUUGGAGUUGUUGAACAGUUUUAUUGGGUAAAGCGAAUGAUUAAAGGCCUCGGGGGUGAAACACUCUCGACCUAUUCAAAAAUGAAGCGCGCCACCUAUGCUCAGUCGUCGUGGCGAUUCUGACGCUGCGACGAGUAGGAGGGCGUAGGGCCUGCUGCGAAGCGUGGAGCGUGAGCCUAGGUGAAGCGGGUCCCGUUGCAGAUCUUGGUGCUAGUAGCAAAUAUUCAAAUAAGAACUUUGAAGACCGAAGUGGAGAAGGGUUCCAUGUGAACAGCGCUUGGACAUGGGUCASUCGGCCCUAAGAGAUGUGGAAACCUUGUAUCAAGGGUGCACUGUGUGCCGCACAUCGAAAGGGGGUCCUGUUAAUAUUCCCGAACCGGGUUGUGGAGGUCCACGGUAACGAAAGCAGCUUCGGAGAUGCUGGCGGGGGCCGUGGGGAGGGUUCUCUUUCCUUCUUGAUGGCUCACCCACCCUGGAAUCGGAUCAACCGGAGAGUGCGUGGGCAAAGCACCGCGCGUCCUGUGGUGUCUAACGCGGCCCCGACGACCCUUGAAAAUCUGGUCCUGCGGGUACCUCUCAAGCCCGGCUAUACUCAUAACCGCACUAGGUCUCCUAGGUAAGCAGCCUCCGGUCAAAGGAAGAAUGUAGGUAAGGGAAGUCGGCAAUAUGGAUCCGUAACCUUGGGAAAAGGAUUGGCUCUGAGGGCUGCGCCUAAGGGUCUGCGCCUCGAUGUCGUUGGCUGCCAGUGGUCUGCUCGAGCUGCUCUCAAGGCGAGGGCGGAGCUCACGUGCCAAUGUGCCGACGGGUGUAGAAUGUCUUAUGUCCCCACCUUUCAGGUGGGACCGUGAGACUCUCCCUAAGCAUAAAACUGCCGACUCAGAACUUGUGCGGACAAGGAAAUCUGAAUGAUUAAUUAAAUCAAAGCAUUGCGAUGGUCCCAACGGAUGUUGACGCAAUGUGAUUUCUGCCCAGUUCUCUGAAUGUCAAAGUGUAGAGAUUCAACCAAGUGCGGGUAAACGGCGAGAGUAACUAUGACUCUUUUAAGGUAGCCAAAUGCCUCGUUAUCUAAUUAGUGACGCGCAUGAAUGGAUUAAUGAGAUUCCCGUUGUCACUAUCUAGUAUUCUACAAAACCACUACCAAGGGAACGGGCUUGGAAGAAUCGGCGGGGAAAGAAGACCCUGUUGAGCUGGACUCUAGUUCAACUCUGUGAAAUGACUUGAGAGGUGUAGAAUAAGUGGGAGCUUUACGGUGCAAGUGAAAUACCACUACUUUUAACGUUAUUUUACUUAUUUCGUGAGGUGGAGUUAGGGCUCUGCCCCUGCUUCUCGAUCGAAGGUGCAGACCCUCGUGGCCUGUCGAAUCCAAGCGAAAGACAUUGUCAGGUGGGGAGUUCGGCUGGGGCGGCACAUCUGUUAGAAGAUAACGAAGGUGUCCUACAAUGAGCUCAACGAGAACGAAAAUCUCGUGUGGAGCAAAAGAGCAAAAGCUCAUUUGAUUUUGAUUUCCAGUAUGGAGUGUUUAAACCGUUGAGGAACAAAAGGUUAAAAUACGGGUUGAAACUUUAAAUAGGUAAGUGUAGGUUGUGGUCUGAAUGACUAAGGGUCAACAUACUCAAGCACAAAUUGUAGGCUAUAGGUGCUGAAUUGUACUACUGGACAACAGGGAAUAAGUAUAAGGCUUCCUGCACAUCGGGCCCUCGAGAUGCCCUCUGUC
rnacentral:rRNA from 1 species